rnacentral:tRNA from 1 species
GCGGACGUGGCGAAAUUGGCAGACGCGCCAGACUUAGGAUCUGGUGCCGAAAGGCGUGUGGGUUCAAGUCCCUUCGUCCGCACCA